UCCAGUGCAUGUGCUGACACCACGGUACUCUGAGGGGCCCACACCGAACUGUUUUUAUAAUUAACAUUAUUGUAAACUGUUAUUAUUCAUACUGAACCUUGUUUCAUCGAAGUUUUUCCAGCCUAACACUACCGUAUAACUUAAGUGUAACGAAACGCGUCAAGAUCUGUGAAGAAAAUCUGCCUGCCUUAAUAUUUCUAAGACUUGCCAAUUGUCACCGACAUCUCACUAAGUACUCAAGGUAAUCACUUUGCUGAAAAAUAUCAAUUUUGUUAUAUAAUAACUUAUACUCGAAGACGGAAAAUAACGCCAAGGAGUAGGACAGGAAAUGGUCAUGGAGGCAUCCCCCACGCCCCAAUCUGUCGGCCGCGAGUUCGUCCGACAAUACUAUACCUUGCUCAACAAGGCCCCAUCUCAUCUGCACAGGUUCUACAACAAUUACUCUUCAUUUGUUCAUGGCGGGUUGGAUGCUCCUAACAGAGAAAUAAAUCCAGCUAUUGGUCAAAAGCAAAUCCAUCAAAAAAUCCAACAACUGAAUUUUCGUGACUGCCAUGCAAAGAUCAGUCAAGUUGACUCACAGGCUACACUUGGGAACGGUGUUGUUGUACAGGUGACAGGAGAGCUGUCUAAUGCAGGACAGCCGAUGCGUCGCUUCACGCAAACGUUUGUUUUGGCCGCGCAAGCACCGAAGAAGUACUAUGUUCACAAUGAUAUCUUUCGUUACCAAGACCUUGGUUUUCCUGACGAGGAAGAAGGAGAUGUUGAAGGUGGUGACGGAGGUAUAGGUGAAGGUGUUGGUGAACGGGAACCUGAAGAAGGUGUGCGUUCAGAACCGGAAGAGGAUGAACAACCCAAUCAAGGGCAUCAAUUACCACCCGCAACUGCGCCUCCAGAGCCACAAGGUCCAGCUUCCAUUAUCCCAAGCCAACAACCGCAACUUCAGCAGCAACAACAACACGUAUACUACGCCCCGCCACCUCAACAACCCGUGCAUCCGGUCAUGCAACCAGUGGCAAUUAAUGGUUCUGUUCAUGAUGAAUCACCUCUAAUCAAUCAGCAGCAGCAUGCCCAUACGUACAUUUCUGAACCUGCAACUCAGGAACAAUUUGUUCAGGAACCAGAGCCCGAAGUGGUUCCUGAACAACAGCCGCAGGUGAAAGAAGAAGCUCAAAUUCCAGUUGAGGAGUCUCAGGAGCCGCUAGAAGUAGAACUGGAACAGCAUUCGAUUUCAGAUUCUCAACCGGAAGUCCCAGUGCCAACCACAACCACCAAUAAUAGUGGACCUAAAACCUAUGCAAAUUUAGUCAAAUCUUUUGCCACUGCAACUGGUUCGGCUAGCCCACAAGCGCCUAAGGCGUCCAUGUCACCCCCACCCAUCACACAUCAACGUCUUGAUGAUCGCAUAUCUGUGCCUGCUGUGAAUGCUGGACCUAUUCUCUCCACUCCUUCAAAUGUCAGUUCCAAUCAACAUCAGGUUCAUAGGAGCGUCGGAGGAAAUCAACAACAGCAACCACAACAACAACAACAGCAGCAGCAGCAGCAACAACAACAGCAGCAACAACAACAACAACAACAACAACGGCCUCCACGAGGAGGACCUGUGCAACGAGGUAUGGGCAGGGGACCAUCCCGCCCCCCCUUCUCUGAUGACAACGGCUGGGAUGGUGAACGUCGCGGGGGCCGGCAAGUUCAGUACGGCGAUUCUCAUCAAUUAUUUUUGGGUAAUCUUCCCUUGGAUGCUUCAGAAGACCAAUUGCGGCAAUUAUUCGAGCAAUAUGGCCCAGUAGCUGAUCUACGUGUUCACAGCAAACAAAACGAAAGAGGAAAAACCCCCCAUGGAACAUCCAAUACUAGCAGAGUACCCAACUACGGAUUUAUUACGUUUGAGGACCACCAGUCUGUCGUAAACGUUCUACAGAGUUUGCCAAUCCAUUUCCCUGAUGAAAAUCACACGAAGUUGAAUGUGGAGGAGAAGAAAAUUAGGCCAAGAAUGUCAAUGGAAGGAGGAGGUGGGAGGCCGUCUACUGGAGAUGGUUCAGUACGCCCAAUGGGUGGCCAACAGCAACGUGGACCAGGGGGUCCAGGUGGUGUGAUAAGAGGUAGCGGACAGCCACGAGUCGGUCGUGGCAGCUUUUCACGUGGAGGUGAUGGUGGCCGAGGGGGUGGCAUGAGACAACCAGGCAAUCACAACUAUCAGAAUCGUCGUUAAAUGUUCUAAACGCUGUAAGUUGCAUCCUGCCCAACUUCGGUGUUACACUCAACACAUGUAUCCAGUGUGUUUUAGACUGUUGCUCGCAAAGAAGGGAUCCAGGCAGAGAUGCGGAUUGACAAACAGCUCAUUAACCGGAUACUAUACAGAAAUGGUAAAUGACGACAAGUUUCUGCAAUUUUAAGGCUGAGAGUGAAUUAAGGAAACAAAGUUCUCCAUUCUUUCUUUAAAUUAAUAGUCCAUACGGACUGAUUUUACUAUAAUAUUACCAGAGAUACCAUUAGUAUGCGUAUAACUGUAAUGAAAAUGGCAUGAUACAGUGAAUGAUUAAUUAUAAAAAUUGAUAUCAAUAAUAAUUAUCAAACAUACAAUCUAGUGAAUAUCGUACUAAAUUGUGAAUAAUAAUUUCAUUGUAGAAUAUUAUUAAUAUUUUCAAAGUACAUAUUUAUACGUACUGAAAGUUCAAGUAAAUCCACAAUAAUUCAUGGUACUGCGUAAUAAGUACGUUUCUGUUGCUUUAUCAUUUAGGUGUAUACAUAAACAACAGCAUAAGUGAGAAGCAUAGUUGAUGACUUAUUGCAUUUGCAUCAUAGGCCAGCUACACCAACAGUCUGUCAAGAUUAUAAUCAUUGAAUGUGAAUACUACUUAAAAGAUAAAAUUGAACAAACGAAUUUCUUUUGUAAUCAAAGAUCGCGGCCUAACUGACAUUGACAAGCGUUCGGCCAUUGGGCAUCAUAAUGCAAAUAAUAAAGGUAGUUUUCUGCAGCAGAGGCUGAAAAAAUGAGCAUCGAAAUAUCUAUCUAAAACUGAACUCGUUUGGUUUUUUCUAACAGAAUUCUUCCAACUUGUUAUACUGAAUUCGAUCUUUACUGGGAAUAAGGUUUACUUCUACAUGUGCAUUUACUUUUUCAUAUAUACCUUAUUUGAUUUCGUGAGAUUUCAUUUCACACAAAUAUUCAUUUUCUGGAAUUGUUUCAUCUAAAGAACAAAAUAUUUAGUUGACAGUCGAUGAACUAUUUUUGUUUUUUGGAUAUAGAUCAUUUUUACUUUAGCCAAAUAAAUAUUCAAUUGAUUUCAUUAGUUUGUUUAGCUAAAGAACAAAAUUCAGGCGAUCCAACAUGCAAAGGUGAUAAUUAAGUAAUAGAUCUUGGCAAAAUAUUUCGUUAAUUUAAUCGACACAAUCAAUCUGUUGAAUCAGUAAAAAAUUAUCCGUCUAAGUAUACAGUGUUUGAUUCAAUUGACGUGUAUUUAGAUCAAGUAAAUACAUACAAUUAAAUUCACUUCUCAGUGUACAUGCUGUGCUUCAAUGGUGGACUGAUAAACCAGUUUCGUGUAACCCGCCUGUGAGUAACUGUAAUAUGUAUACAUGUUCGGGUCUUGAAACAUUUUCGUAAUUAAUUUUUUAGCAUUUCUAUUAAAGAAGAAAUCUGUAAUCAUUGCAUAGUAUAGUUGAAAGUCCGACGAUCUGUAUUUAGAACUGGUUACGCGAAACUGUUAUACCUCGGCACAUUAAGUACAUUUACAAAUUUAUUAUUCGUAUUAUUAUUGUAUUUUUAUUUCUCUUUUUUUUUUUGUAUUCAAAGUAUAUAGUAAAAUUGAUAUUAACUGUAGUAGUUACUCGAUAAUUGUAAACCGAUUUGUACAUUACGCUAAACAAGCUUACGUGAAAAUUGUUCGCGUUAUUACAACGGAUAUGUGAAAUGUUUUUGAUAUAGGGGAUGAAAGAAACUAGAUUAUUUUGCUGUAUAGAAAGAGUGAUACAAGAAUGGCAUGUGUAUUUUCAUUCACGGACAAUCGGGGUGUCGUCAUUAUAAUCAACCGUUAAAUACCGAAGUGCGGGUGAGCUUGUUUACCACAAAUAACAAACCAGGUGUUUCGUUAAAGAAAGUCUCUGGAUUUGCUAACCCUGAUGAGCAGUCUUAUCAAUGAUCUUAAAUUGAACCACUGUUACAUAAAAGCACUUGUGCGUAUCACCUAUUUGCAAAUUUUUAGUAUGAAUGUUUUUUUUCACAAGUAGGUAAUUAUUAAAAAUAAAAAUAAACAAAAACAAUUCAACAAAUAUGAUAGUUAUAAAUAUUAAUAGAGGAUGGUGUAAUUAAGUUGUGAAUUUUUUGGAGCAUACCUUUUUAUUUUUGGCAUCUUUGAGCCAGUUAGUGUGUACGACCGUGGAAAUGUUACUGCGAUAACAAAAGAAAAAUUAAGAUGAUGAAAAAAAAAACACGUGUUUAAACAAACAUGACACGUAUUGUAACUUUUUGCAUUUAGUAUAAUAUACCUUGCUACCAACUAAUAAUACUUCAUUUGUAUAUUGUUACUUAAGUAAGGAAAAUUGAUGAAUAAGGCAGACGAAUUGGAACACAAUCGCUGAAUUUUAUGGUGAUAUAUUGGGGAAUUGUUCAAAAAACUGAAUACAUGCCGCCAACGACUGUUUGAUGUCUACCUUAAUAAUCUACCCUACAUACUACGUAUGCGUAUAGGUAUGUAAAUAAUUUUUUUAUUCCUGAUCACAAUAUGUACGCGAAAUCACUGCCGUGAUGACAAUAUUUCGACUUAUGGUACUCUUUCUGACGUUUUCUUGGUCUGGGCCUUACGAAAAUUAUUCUACAUGAUUAUCAUUUCUGAGUCUGCAUAGAAUUAUACAAUAAUAGUUGUGUGGUAAUCGUUUUCCAUGGGCACAAUAUCCACUUGUAACUAGUGAAUAAUAAUUGAUGAAAAAAUGAAAAAUCCUGUGCAGUUUUUCCGUAUAGGAUGUUAAUUUUAAACAGUAUCACAUAGAUAUCGAAAAAAUUAUUAUAAAUUUUUUAGUGUUGCAAAGCCUCCUAGACUCACUGUGAUAUCAUAUAAUUACAUGGUGGAAUAAAUAUUAAUUGAAUGAA